UGUGUCUCCAGUGUUUCAGCCUGACACCUCUGACAUGUUUUCAUAGUCUCUCCCUAGACAGUAAGCUCCUUAAAGGCGGGGACAGUGUUUUAUUAAUCUCUACACUUCUGGGACCUGGUGCCAUUGCAGGGACUGAAUGAAUGAAUGCAUGCUUGCAUGACAAUGAAGCAGGCAGGGCUCAAUGCUACUUCGUGGAACUGCUUCCUCAUUACACUUUUUUGGUUCAGUCCUCCAACUCAUAACAAAACACCAAAUCACAUUAUCCGUGUCCAGGUCACCCCACUCCUCUCAUUUACCCACAGGAUACUGUCGCAGACUCAUACUGUGCUUUGCUGAGUUGCCUAUUUCCCAGAAUAGAACACCAAGAAAUGCCAGUAUUUCAAGAUGUUCUGGCAGAAAAGGAUUUCAAGGUCACAGCUUCACUCCAGGUUCCUUAAGGGAAAAAGCAAUACUAAUUUCCAAUCUGGAUGGUGAGCUUCCAACCUGAAGAUUUUAUGAUUGUCACAGAAACUUAGGGUGUAUCUCUACUUACAUCCUAGACUAAAGUCCAAACUUCUUGUUUAAAAGUGAAAAGAUACUUCAUCAUAGAAACCUAUCUGCCUAGUUGACUUCUGUACCUGGGCUUGUACAGAGUGAAAUGAUAUUUCUUUCUCUGAUAGCACUUUGGCAAGUUUAAGGGACUGCAGUGUAAGUACAGAGCAUCAGCCCGCAGUUCAUCCACCUGACAUCUGAAACUGUUUCUACUACUCACAUUCAGUAGAGUUGUUUUUCCCAAAAGGAUAAUAGUAAUCUCAAAUCCUAUUGCAGAGCUGGUAUUUACAAGCUCAAUUUCACAUUUUUUUCCAAGCCAAAUUCCCUAAGUAUCUGGAUUCAUUAGUACUCUGAAAAGGGACUUGCCAUCUGAAAACUGAAAAACAGUGCCUAGAAAUGAUGAUUCUCGGGUAUUUGCAUCAUUUCAUGUCCGGGUGAGGGUUAUGUUAAUAGCUUCAGACAUCACAUCUGCAAAACAUUGUUUGAUGUUCCUAAUGAAGAUUUCACAGUCCUGAGAUAGCCGAGUGGAAAGAACUGGUUUGUCUCUCACUGUAUCUGGUUAAUAAAAUGGAAUAAGUGUUUGCCA
rnacentral:lncRNA from 1 species